CAAAGUGAGACUCUGUCUCAAAAGAAAGAUGAUAAAUGUAGUUUCUAAAUAUCAUAUUAUUAUAAGAAUAUCAUGUUUGUUGAUUGCUAACAACUGGUUUUGUACUGAAACUUUAUUAACUAUCAUGGUGAAAAUUUACUCUGUCCUCUGCUAUUUUAUUUUUUCUUUUCCUUUUAAAACACCCAAAAGGCACUAUAACCCUCUGUUAUUUAUUAACGCACAUAUGUUGAGGUGAGGACAUUUCUAAGCCCCCAAAUUGCUGACUUUGCAAUGUUUUAGUGUCUGUUUGUUUUUUCUUUUAUGUUGCAGUGGUGCGAAUAAAGAGCCGAAUAACUUAUGUACUACUCUACAUGUGAUAGGACAAAACUAAGAAAAUUUUAAUAGGCUGGAAAAGGUGGUAACCUUCUCCCUCUGGGCCGUCUUGUUCAAAACUGAUUUUGCUGCUCUUAUUUCUCUUAUUAUGUUAAAUCGAAGAUGUCAUCAUGUGGAGAAUGAUGUGCCAUUAUUUAGUAUAACACAGAGAAAGAAAAAGAUACCAACACUGCCAAUUAAGUAGACAUACCAUCACAUAUAAGAUGAACUUCAACUUCAGAGAUAUCAAAAUGUGAAAAAUAUGUCCUUCUUAAAAGUUAUGAGGUGUUAAGAUUUGGGUUUUAGACCCUCUUCUGGCUCACUAAAACCUGGAUUCAGGAAGAAAGAGAAGCACCAGAUAUAGACAGUUCACAAAUUGGGUAAUCAGCUUUGAGAACAAUUAAUGUAAACCAUAUCUAUAAUAGUAUUUUAAACAUUAAUACAUAAACAGCACUCUCUCUCAUAAGUAACAUAGUUU
rnacentral:lncRNA from 1 species